GUGCCCUUAGCUCAGCUGGUAGAGCACCUGACUCUUAAUCAGGGUGUCGAGAGUUCGAGCCUCUCAGGGCGCACCA
rnacentral:tRNA from 2 species